rnacentral:rRNA from 1 species
UACGUAGGGGGGCUAGCGUUGUUCCGGAAUCAUUGGGCGUAAAGAGCGUGUAGGCGGUCCGGUAAGUCCGCUGUGAAAGUCGGGGGCUCAACCCUCGAAUGCCGGUGGAUACUGUCGGGCUAGAGUGCGGAAGAGGCGAGUGGAAUUCCUGGUGUAGCGGUGAAAUGCGCAGAUAUCGGGAAGAACACCCGUGGCGAAGGCGGCUACUCUGGGACGGUACUGGACGCUGAGACGCGAAAGCGUGGGGAGCGAACGAGG